rnacentral:lncRNA from 1 species
GCCAUCUAUUAACUGUUGUUUCUGCCAUCUACUUGAUGUUUAUAUAAUUCACAAUGCGUUAGUCCAUAUGAUUCUAUAUGGUGUUUCAAUUGGGGCUGCCAUCUAUGAGUUAUUGCUGCCAUCUACUUGUAAUGUUUAUAUAAUUCACAAUGCCUUAUUUCAUCUGAAUUUAUAUGUUGUUUUAAUUUGGGCUGUCAUCUAUGAGUUGUUUCUGCCAUCUACUUGUAAUAUUUAUAUAAUUCACAUUGUUUCUGCCCAUAUGAUUUUAUAUGUUGUUCCAAUUGCGGUUGCCAUCAUUGAGUUGUUGUUUCUGCCAUCUACUUGUAAUGUCUAUAUAAUUCACAAUGCUUUAAUUGCAAGGUUAAGCGGCAUGGGAGCAAAAGAGCUUUUGGUUUGAUGAAGACUAACGGGUGGAUGAACAGGAAGUCCGAAGUGAAGGUCUCUGUUUGAUUCAAUACUUUUGGUGCAAGACUGAAGAGUUGAAGAACAGGAAGUCUGAAUUGAACUUUCUGUUUGUAUUUUGGGGUCGGCAUAAUUGAACUUCGAAUGUCGUGUUAAAUUCAUUGUGGACUGUAAUUCUGAACCGUUAUGGGUGUUCGUUUCGACUCUUGGUAGAACUAUUAAGUCGCAUGUUACUCUUAGUAUCUGAACUAUCAAGUCACAUGUUAAUCUGGACUAUCAUGUUGCUUUUCUAAGGUUGCUGCUCUCUGAAUUGAUCCACUAUGCUAUUGCCUGAAUGGUUGCAACUGGAGUGUUGAUGUUCAGUCUGAUACGUAGUGAUUUGAUGAAUAGAUUCAGCUGUUUGAUUUUUACAUGCAUAUUUUGCUAAAAGUUCUGAAUACUCAUCUGUUGUUCUAUUGUAUUUCAAAAUUUUAGGCAAAUUUCGCCCAUUUUUCGUCCCAAAAUUCAAAUUUUGUUUUACGAUUUUCGUUCGAGAUUUUCCGAAAAAAUCUGAAAAAUCUGAAUUUCGCCCAUUUCGCCCAGGACCGGUAAAAAUCAAAAAACGAAAUCCGAAAUUCUGGCCACCGCAUGCUUCACCCAUCGUUGGAGCCACGAACGGCCGGACCGCUUGCAAUGGUGGGUGGUGGGGAGCGAUGAUGCCGCCGGAGCCGGCCGAUACUGGGUCGACGGUUGACAAAGAAGAACACCGCAAGCACUUGUGCGGAAGUGCGUUGCCCCGCGGACGGGGAGGGCCUCGACGUUGAGGGGAGCCUCCUGGAGCCAGGUGGAGUCGUCGGCGACAAAAACAACCGUGCCGAGACGGAUCUUGCGGCCCAACGCCAAACCACCGUCGGAAACCAUGUUGUCGGAGAAUGAAAUAUGCAACCUCACCAGAAGUCGCUUAGAUGCCUGCCCCACGGUGGGCGCCAACUGUCGUGGGAGUAAGUCCGACAUUAAGAAUAGGGGGUACAUAGGAGGAGGCAAGGUCCUAGCUACGGUGACACGCAAGUUUACGAGUUCAGGCCCCUCUCGGAGGAGGUAAAAGCCCUACGUCUCGGUGCCCUGAGGCUUUGUUGACUGGAUUAUGCGUGGAUGUUACAAGGGGUGCAAACCCUUGUGCCAGAGGAGGAGGGUGGCUUAUAUAGAGUGCGCCAGGACCCUCGUAGACCUCCGAUACACAGGGUUCAAUGUGAGUUAAGAUAUGGGCAUUACUGGUAACGCCAACAAUUAAUGAUCUUUAGGUCUACAGAGUGAACGUAUGACCGUUGCCAUCUUGGGGUGGCUUUAGAUUCUCUGUACUCCGAGUGGUUUUACAUAUGGUCGAGUGACUAUGCUGUGGUCGAGUGGAAUCGGGAUAUCCGAGUGGAGUCUUCUGUCGAGUGGAUUGCACUUCAAGGUGACUCCAGUCGGUACUUUCUGUUGGUCCUUAAAUGUCUUUGACUAUAGGGCAGUGUCCUUGGGUGGGGUGUCUAGGUCAGGCCUAAGACCCUGCCCUAGGUACAUGUCCUUGUCACCCACCCUCUAUAUCAUCCCCUUUUUAACAAGCUUCAAACCAUACUUAAUUCCUUUCCACACCACAGAAUUAUUACCAGAAAACAAUGUGUCUAGAAUACUACCAUUAGUAAAAUAUUUUGUCUUUAGUAGCCGUGCACGUAAGCUAACUCGGUUAUCAAUCAAAUGUUGAGCCUGUUUUGCCAACAGGGCCUGGUUAAAAUCACGCAUAUCGCAAAAACCCAUGCCCUCUUUGUACUUUGGUAGCAUCAUCUUUAUCUUUUUCUUAGGGACCCUGAUAACUACCACAUGUGUGGCACAAACAAACACAUUGCAAUUUCAAAAGUUUUUUAUGGAAAAUUUAGUGAUGCGAGGAUGACAACUUCUUUUCAGAUGUCAAGUUUCAUUUUUGGGGUUUGUUUUUUCUUUUUGGAUGGCAACUUAGUUGUAGAAAAACGUUAAGGCUGGAGUGCUUCAUGGCACACAUGUGGCACUUAUCAUUUGGGUUUCUUAGGGACAAUAAUCUCUAUCUUUUUUAUGUGUGUGUGUGUGAGUGCUAGUAAUCUAUAUCUCCACAAGACACGGAUUGGAGAUUAUAAUAGAAUUGCUAUAUCUCUAUAGGAUAUGGGAGUAAUCUCUAUAUCUCUACAUGACGUGGCAGUAAUCUUUAUAUCUCUACAGGAUGUGGGAAGGGCUAUAAUAGAAUCUAAUCUUGCUAUACAAAAGUAAAAAAAACUUGAACCACUGGAUGAAGAUGAAUGGUAAAGAUUUAGGUGGAGGGACGACAGACCAUUUAAUGUACAUUUCAUGACAAAAACCCACAAAGAGUUAGAUGGGAAAUAGGACAUUUACAGUAUACACCUCGAGUCUUUGUGAAAUAUACACCUCGAGUCUUCGUGAAAUAUGACCAUUUUUGGAUAUGUAAAGUGUUGAUGGCCAUCUCCUCUUAGUUUGAUAUAAAAUCUUUGCAAAUAUUUACUGCAUGAAAUCCAUACACAUUUAAGUGUCUUUUUUUUGCCUCGGAGACAUCGCUAAUUUUUCAAGAGUUUACAAGAACAUCUUGGUCACUAAAAAUGCCAAUAUGCAACAAAUAUUUUAGCACAUGAGAGAAUUAACUCAUGCUGGAUCAAACAGAACUACAAGUAGAUGUCAGACUAGAAGUAUUUGAGCGCAUGAGCAAAUUAAGGGCUAAAAUUAUCACCACUCAGCAAGCAUUCGAGUAUUUGAGUACAUGAGAACAUAACACAAGAGGCAUAUAUAGAUCAUUUUUACUACAUGGCCAGCAAGACCAAGUACUCAAAACUGAAAUUAACACCACCCAACAAGCAUCUUCAUGGUACAUGACAAAGAAGGUCUAUCAUUUUUCCUCAUGUUUUAGUGCUUCUCGGUAAUCAAGCUUCAUCUACCCAACCUUCAUGGACUCUUAUACACUUGAUCGACCUAGGUAAGUACACUAAAUAAAUAGGUGACAACUAGAAAUAUAUACCAAAUAGCAUAUCUUGAGAAGAGAGGCAUCAUUAUGUCCAGUUUCAUUCGCUGCUCCAACCUAGAAUACAUAACCUAGAUGUCAAACUUAGAAUGAAAUUCCUCAACCAUAUUAAUACGCAUGUGUAUUCAGUUAUGGGAUCUCAUUUUGUCACAAGCAAAAACAUAGUUUCAGACAAACUAAAUACAAUUACUACUCCCCAUAUGGACUGCCCAUUUAAAGCGAGUAUUACAAGCUGCGACAAGUGAUAUAACACAACAGGACCUAGUAGUUUUUACCCUAAACAUGGGCAUAUCUUCGUUGUUAAGUUUUAGCCUAUUUGUUUAUCACCUAAGGUUUGGCAUGGACAUGUGAUAUAUGAUGAGGAAGGUUUUCUAGUAGAUUGAUGUACAUCUGCAUAGUUUUCACCUAAUGUUUGGUAACCAAUCCCCGUCUACGAGCAUGACUAAGAAAUAAAUGAGCAUAACGUAUAUUCCCGGGGUGAUCAAAGGUAACAGGUUCCUACCUCAAGUACUACAACCAAAACACAUGUUCCCAAUCCUACUCAUGUAAAUCUUUGAGGGGUAAAACUAAUGCAUAGUAAAAACUGGGUAUUGAAAAGUAUGAUCAAAGUGUGACUUGCCUUGCUGCAAUCGGAAAACUCUAGAGAUUCGUAGUAACAAGUUUCACACUCCGGAAAAUCUAGCAUAGACAAACAAUAGCAUACAUAAGCACUCAAGCAAGCGAUGCAAAGAGAAAUCGAAGAAAAGAUCCAAAGAACUCAAAAACAAGCAAAUAACUAAGCUAACAGAAAAAAUUCUAAUAGCAUUAUAUUUAUGUGGAUUAGAUCUUAAUAUAAGGUACAUGUGAUUAGAUAUGAUUUGCAAAAAGAAUCAACUCAAACGGAGCUACGAAACUCAAGAUACGAUCAAAACAAGAUCAAAUUCAAAUCUGAACUAAAAUUAAAUUUUAAAUUGUCAAAAACAUGUUCAAGUUAGUUUCAUGGAUAGAUGGGAUCACUCUAAAGAUUUUGGCGUUGGUUUCGUCGAAUUUGGACAAACGAGCAAAAAGUAAUGAGGGUUUAAAGAUCAGGGGCUAAUCUGCAAAGAAAAUAUUUGCGGAUAAGUCCCUGGCCGAAAACUAAAAUAAGAAGAAAAAAACUACCAAAUGAACGUUUGCUACAGAACCUAAUCUAAUGAAUCUGUUCAUUACAGAACCUAAACGAAUGAACAUUCGCUAAAUAACCGAACUAAAUAAAAUAAACUGGAUUUAACAGAAAAACCGAAAAAACCGGAUCGGACCGAGGUGGUUUUAUACCAGUUCACGGCGGCGGACUCGACGGCGGCGGCGACGGGGCUCGGGUUCGGCGGUGCAGUGGCGGCGGGCUCAGGCGACGGCAGCUUUCGGCGGCGGCGGCGGUGGCGGGGUGCGGUGGGAAGUNNNNNNNNNNNNNNNNNNNNNNNNNNNNNNNNNNNNNNNNNNNNNNNNNNNNNNNNNNNNNNNNNNNNNNNNNNNNNNNNNNNNNNNNNNNNNNNNNNNNNNNNNNNNNNNNNNNNNNNNNNNNNNNNNNNNNNNNNNNNNNNNNNNNNNNNNNNNNNNNNNNNNNNNNNNNNNNNNNNNNNNNNNNNNNNNNNNNNNNNNNNNNNNNNNNNNNNNNNNNNNNNNNNNNNNNNNNNNNNNNNNNNNNNNNNNNNNNNNNNNNNNNNNNNNNNNNNNNNNNNNNNNGUGGGAAGUGCGGCGCUCGGCGGGGCUUGCGGGCGGCGCGGGCAGCGAGUGCUGCGGGCGUCGGCGGAAAGUGCGGUGGCGCCGGCGCGGCUUGUGACGAGGAGAGAGGGGCCGAGGUCCUCCCUAUUUAAAGGGGGUCAUGGGGUGCGGGCGGCUUGGGAAGGGGGCAAGCGGGGCGGCGGUUGUCUCGGAAUCUGGCGGCGGCAUCGUCGUGGCGUGGCCGAACUCCUAGCCGGAGUCGAUCGCAUGGUGCGGGAGGAGCUGGGCCUUGGCCUGGCGGCUAGCUGGACCGGCCUAGUUCGGCAGGAAGUUUUUUUUAAAACAAUUUUUUCAGAGACAUAAACACGCUAAACAAAUAUAAAUAAAAUCCAAAAAAUACCUGAAAAAUUCACGUUGUAAUAUGGCCUUAUUAUUGACCUAGUGAACAUUUUUCUAGGCCAAAAUGCCUAAACUAAAAACAAACAUUAUAGUACUAAUUACUCCGCUAACAAAAUAGAUAAACUAGUGAAUAAAAUCAAAUAAAAUCUCCAAAAAUUCGAAAUUCAACUUCCAUAUUUCUUUGAUGAUUUUGAAGAAGUCCUUUUAUCUUCUCUCUUUAUUUUAAAAAUAAUUGGAAAAGAAUUUUGAAAAACAAUUUGAUCCAAUUACCAAAUUUUGAAAACGUCCAACUCUCUCAAAUUGGUCCUUGAGUUGCUUAAGGUCUCUUGGAUCAAAAUGCAACUAAAACAAAGCAACAAAAUGCAUAAAUCAUGGAUGCAUAAGAAUGGUCUAUGAAUAACAUCCAAAUUGAAAACUGGGAUGGUACAAAUAUACCCCCUUAAGAUGAAUCUCGCCCUCGAGAUUCGGGUUGGUCAGCAAAAAGGUGUGGAUGGUCCUUGCGGAGGUCUUCCUCGCGCUCCCAGGUAUCUUCCUCCUUGGUAUGGUGGCUCCACUAAACUUUGUGAAACUUGAUGACUUUCCUGUGAGUAACUCGGCUGGAAAACUCGAGAAUCUUAAUGGGUUUCUCUUCAUAGGUUAGAUCACUAUCCAACUGAAUCGCUUCCAGUGGCACUGUAUCGCUCAGAGGAAUGUCAGCCAUCUCUGCAUGGCACUUCUUUAACUGGGAAACGUGAAACACAUCAUGAACUCCUGACAAUCCUUCGGGUAAUUCCAACUUGCAGGCAACUUCUCCUAUACGUUCCAAAACUCUGUAUGGUCCCACAAAUCAUGGUGCUAGUUCUCCUUUGACUCCAAAUCGCUUAACUCCUCGAAGUGGGGACACACGAAGAUAUGCUCUGUCUCCGACUUCAUAGGCUACCUCCUUGCAUUUAGUAUCGGCAUAACUCUUCUGCCUUGACUGAGCUAUCUUGAGUCUGUCACAAAUCAACUUAACCUUCUCCUCAAAAUCUCUGAUUUAAUCUAGUCCGAACAACUAUCGAUCUCCAACUUUAUCCCAUGACAAUUGUGUCCUGCACCUCUGUCGGUGUCAAAACCGGCGGAUCUCGGGUAGGGGGUCCCGAACUAUGCGUCUAGGCGGAUGGUAACAGGAGACAAGGGACACGAUGUUUUACCCAGGUUUGGGCCCUGUCGAUGGAGGUAAAACCCUACGUCCUGCUUGAUUAAUAUUGAUGAUAUGGGUAGUACAAGAGUGGAUCUACCACGAGAUCAAGGAGGCUAAACCCUAAAGCUAGCCUAUGGUAUGAUUGUUGUAAUGUAUGUUGUGUCCUACGGACUACAGCCCUCCGGUUUAUAUAGACACCGGAGAAGGCUAGGGUUACACAGAGUCGGUUACAAUGGUAGGAGAUCUACAUAUCCGUAUCGCCAAGCUUGCCUUCCACGCCAAGGAAAGUCCCAUCCGGAGACGGGACGAAGUCUUCAAUCUUGUAUCUUCGUAGUCUUGGAGUCCGGCGAACGAUGAUAGUCCGGCUGUCCGGACACUCCCUAGUCCAGGACUCCCUCAGUAGCCCCUGAACCAGGCUUCAAUGACGAUAAGUCCGGCGCGCAUAAUGUUCGGCAUUGCAAGGCGGGUUCCUCCCUUGAAUAAUCCAGAGAAGAUCAUGAACACCAGGAUAGUGUCCGGCUCUGCAAUAUAAAUUCCACAUUCCACCGUAGAGAGAAUAAAAUGUACACAAGUCCAAUCUGCUGACGUAUUAUGCGGCAUGACAUCACACCGCUACCAAGCCUUUAUUUGAAUCAUUUUUUAUUAUACCACCUCAUCACGUUUAGCGAAGCGGUUUCCUUGGCACGUCCUGUCGAAGCAGAGAUCGUGUUCCCCUUAUUCCGGGAUUCUCAUCAAUACGGACGUGGGUAACCCAACCCCGCCCGUCGCCACGUCUCCUCUAUCGAAGGUGAAUCACGAACGGUCACGGAGACGACUCUUGGUAUUUUCCCCCUUUAUAAGAGGACCAAGGCUCGUUUCUUUUCUUCAAUCUUCCAUCGAAUCUUCUCCUUGCUCCAAGUUCCAACACCCAGGGCCCCAGAUUCGAGCGCUUCGGAUCUUCAACCAUGUCCGGCUCCGACCUCCAGGGUCGGUGGAUGCCCUCCUCCGUUACGGAGGAGGACGUGCUAAAGCUGCGUGAGGCCAAGUACCUGUCCUAUGAGAUUUCGCACAGGUUGCCCGCCCAAGGGCAGGCCGUGCCCACUCCCGAGCCCGGUGAGUACGUCGUCUUCGUAUCCCACCUCCGUUGGGGCUUAGGCUUCCCGACGGACCCCUUCGUGAGAGGGCUCAUGUUCUACUACGGGCUGGAUUUUCACGACUUGGCUUCGGAGUCCAUCCUCCACAUCUCCGCAUUCAUUAUCGUCUGCGAAGCCUUCCUCCGCGUCACCCCGCACUUCGGCCUGUGGCUGAAGACCUUAAAUGUGGAGCCGAAGAUGAUCGGGGGGCGUCAAGCGGAGUGCGGCGGGGCGGCCAUAAGCAGAAGGGCCGAUGCCCCGUGGCCCGAGGGUUCCUUCCAGGAGGAGCUCGGACUGUGGCAGCAGGAGUGGUUCUAUAUCACCGCUCCGAAGGGCAGCAAGCAAAAGCCGCCGCCUUCAUUCCGCCUGGUACCUCCAUGCCGACUGAUGUCGUGGGUCAACCAAGGGCUAAAUUGGGGGCCGUCCGAAGACGUGCCCUCAUUGCAGGGCCGGAUUCGAGACCUCCAGGCGAGGGAGAUCAAUCUAGUCGUGGUGAUGCAGGUUAUGCUAAUCAGGCGUCUUCUGCCCUGCAAACGCCGUCCUCUCCGGUUAUGGGAGUUCAAUCCGGAGGGACCACGAAUUCUCCAACACUUCAUGGGUGCGACACCCGUGGAGAUGUACAAGUUGUUCUUCGAACCGCUGGUGGUGUGUCCGGAAUUGACCGAGGACGUAGGCUUAAGCUGCAAUCGCCCGGAUACUCAGGUAAGUAGCUCAGAGUCCGGAUGUUCUGUUUAUUUGCUUUUCUAGAAUUCGCCUCCUGACCCAUUACUCUUCAUCAGGAGUGGGUAGCGCGAUCGAAGCUGAUAAGGUGUCCGGCCCCCCUCCCAGAGACCGCACUGGAGCCCGUGCUGGUCAGAAUGUUGGAGGUCGCGCCCGAAGAAAGGGGCGAUGGGGAAAAUAGAAGAGUUAAUACCUCGCCCAAGGGGGCGCCUGAAGAGGGGGGGAUCGAAAAUCCCUCCCUCCAGGGGGAGAAGAGGACUGCCUCCGAAGACCUGGAGGCCAAAGCCCCUAAGCGGGAGAAGAAAUCUUCACCGGAGGGUCCUGCGUCCGGGGAGAACCCGGACGUGCAAUCGUCUCUAAAGGACCAGCCCUCUAGCGAGCCAUGAGUAGGGAAAGGGGAGUUUAUUAAUAAGAAAAUACCUCCAUUUGUGCUUCUGUGGAUAACCGAAAUUUUACUUUGCAGUUCGGAUUUGCGGACUUCUCAGAUGAGUUCGUCUUCGGGGGAUCUUCGUCCGGAGAUGAUGGAGAGCGAAACGCCUCCAUCUGCUGCGUCGCCGGACAGGGCAGAUGAGCCUGAAGUAUCAUCACGGAGGGUGUCCCCGAGCCCGGUGAGGCUGGAGAGUUCGGCGCCGACUAGUGUCCGACCGGGGGAGCCGAAGAGUCUGCUUGAGAGGGCGUCCAUCUCAGAAGAUCACCGUGCUUUGAUGAGUAUGUUGAUCGGAAGGAUUUCGUCCGCCGAAAGCGGAUUGCAUAAUGCCGUCAGGAGUUUGCUGGCGGGAUUUGAGGUACGUAAGAACGACGCACCUUUUUGACAGUUUUGCACAUAGAAGUGCGCCCUGUAUAGAUAAUAGCCCCUGAGACUCGGCAGGUUGUCGAAAGCGACAGCGUGCCGAGGAUCAAAAUCGCAGGUAUUGAAAGUUGUCCUACCUAUGUAGGUGACGGAUAGUCCGGGGGCUAGCCGGACUAGUGGAGUUGUUGAGUUAAUGCGGCAACUUGAUGUGGCGGAUGCGGACAUCGCGCUUAUCAACCGACGACUUGACGAGUCGCAAGGUAAAUGAAUUCUCCGCAGUCUCUUAUUUGAGGGAGCCAAAGCCCGCCUCUGAUAAUAUAUAUGCUGUGAUACAGAUGGUGCUGCUGCUGUGGAGAACCUUCGUGCCGACCUUGCUCAAGCUAAGGAGCAAGCCCGAAGGAGUGAUGCGGCUGCCUCGAGGGCGGCCGAAGAGUUGAAAGCCGAAAAGGCUGCACACUGCCUAAGCAGGGAAAAGAUGGCCGAAUUGGCUGUGAAAUUAAAAGAUGCUGCCGACCGCAAUGAGGCUCUUGAAAAGGAGCGCUUAUCGGAGCGGGAAAACCUGGUGAAGGCCACCGUUGAGGCCAAGGAUGCCCAUUCUGCAAUGCGGGCUAUGAAGGAGGAGCUGCGCCAGGCCGGCGAUAUUGUGGCUGACAAGCUGUUUCUGCUGCGUCGCCGGUUUAUGGAUCAAAAAUAUGCCCAACUUGGCCAGCUGUGGGGUCCGGAGGAUCCAUAUAUGGACUUAGCGGCAAGUGCGGCUGAUGCCGUUGAGCACUUCCGGAGCCAGAAGGAUCACAAGAUGGAAGAGCUAUUUUGGUAUCAAUUCCAUAGUCCGGAUCGUUCACUUCCGUUGACCGAUCGGUUGGCCGAAUGGGCUGAGCUAAAUAGAUUGUCCGGACUUGCCAUGACUGAUAUCGUGGCUCAUGUCUGGCCAGAGAGGCCCAAGGCGACGAGCUAUUUCGGCUUAUUGCAGCAAUUUCUUGGAGCGGUGCCGCAUAUCAAGGAGAUGAAGCGGUCGGCCUACAUAGAUGGCGCGCGCAUGGCCCUUGCCCGUGUGAAGACACAUUGGACAGAGAUGGAUGCCACCGCUAUUGCCACCCAGGGUUCGGACGAAAGCCGGUUACCCGCCGAGCACUAUUUUGGGGAAGUUAUGCGUGGCGCUCGUGUAAUAGAGUCGCAGUGCUCAAAAAAUGUUACGUUCAAAUGAACGUUUUUAUCUUGUAAGACAAUGAUUAUAAUGUAACCACUUUUUAGACUUGUGCGUCCCAAGUAUUAAAAUAUCUCCUAUGCGACCGUUUAUGUAUACAUUUGUAUAACCUGAAAGAUUGCAGUCUUCGGCUUCAGCCCCCACGCACAAGGUGCGGGGGUGUUCGCAAAAAUAGUGCCUUUUCACACUUAAUCCGACGUCUCGGUCCUGUUAUGAAGGUGGUAGCGUAGCAAACAAGGCAAUCCGGACUAUUAUGCUUUAUCACUUUCACUUAGCCAGUGGAGUUCGAGGGUGGGGCUAUGAUAUAGCCCCUUGGGGCAUCGCGCUUCUCCGAAUUCGGGGCGCGUGUGUGCCUGACCGGGAAACGGUCCUUCAUCAAAGUGGGGAAUUCUAAACAUUCCGGUAGUCGAUCGAGUGGUUGACCAGUCUCUCACUGUAUCAUGACAGUCAGUUUUCGGCUUUCUCUACUGAGGUGCUCGCCCAGCCGAACUGGGGCACAAUCGCAGUAGUUCUCCUGGUGCCGCGUUAGCCGAUGAUACGGAACGUAAGGCAGCAAAACACAGGAGCCGGGCAAACCCAACAUUUGACCAAAGACAUGAUUCGGAGCUGAUGCAUAUAAGGCCUAACUCGAGGCGCCGAACACUCCCUAAGGUGUUCGGUCUUUGUAAUAAUGGGCAGAACAAUGCCCUGAGCCCCUAGUGUCCAGGUACGGGCAUGGUCUUCUGACGUGGCCGAUGCCAAAACGUCAAGCUCCGCUUUGGCUAUAAUGAGAAACCAAGGGAUUAUAACAACAAGAGACAGUAAAAAAGGUUUACGCAGGGUCUUAACUUGAAAAGAAUCCUCGCAACGGGUCCCUACUGCACGUCUGUGCUUGUGUCUCCAUUGUGCCGUUAUCCUGGACGGGUGUGCACGUUGUUCAUCUGUAAAAAGAAUUUGUGCAAAAUAUAUACGAAGAAAGAAAUAUAAAUAAGUAAAGUGGAGUCUAUGUGAGCUCGCUGUUGCAGCCCCUUGUGAAGGGAUGUGCGGCUAGGGAGCCCCUAGCUUACUUAUGCCGGACUCGCCUAACCGUGUCUGGGGUCUUUAAAUGACCCUCGCACUGAAAUUAUGCCACGUGGACCGGGCAUCUUGAGUGUAAGAGACGCGUAAUGUGGUAUGUCGUUGAAGCGAACAAAAGCUUCUCGUCCCAAGAGUGCUUGAUAGCUGCUUUUAAAUGGGACUAUAUGAAAGAUUUGUUUUUCGCGUCGAAAGUUGUUCGGUAAUCCGAACACAACUUCUAGUAAUAGGGAGCCUGUGCACUUGGUGUAUGGGCCUGGCGUCACUCCUUUAAAGGAAGUGCGGCUGUGUCGAAUUGUAGUUAGGUCUAUCCCCAACUUGCGGAUUGUGUUUGAAUACAGCAGGUUUAAGUCGCUGCCUCCGUCCAUCAGGACUUGUUUAAAUUGUAGUCCGUCGAUUAUGGGAUCCAAUAUCAGGGCAGUCCAUCCUGCAUUUUGAACGCUUCUGGAAUAAUCCAGGUGGUCGAAAGUGAUUGGUUUUGAUGUCCAAUCUCUAUGUUUCGCUGGAUUGGACCGUGCGAGACCCAUUUUAAUGGGUGCCGCACUGUUUUUCUGUAUUAUCACAUGAAGUGAAUUUACUGCUUUGACCUCUUGUGGGAAAUUCUUUUGUUUUCCGGUGCUCUGCUGGUGGGGUUUGUCAUCUUCGCUUGACGCGUCGAGCCCCUUGUGUUCGGCGUUUAGUCGGCCGGACUGUUUGAAAACCCAACAAUCCCGAUGGGUGUGGUUUGCAGGCCUUCCGGGGGUACUGUGGAUUUGACAUAUCCGACCCAAAAUCUUGUUUAAGUUGGAUAGCUCAUUGAUGUCAUCCUUAAGAUGUGGUGUUUUGUUGUUUGGCCGCGAGCUUUUGAAUUCGGCGUUGACUGUCGUGCUCUUUGGGCUUUUCUCUUUAUUCCGGCGCUGCUCUUUUCUGCGACGUGAUUAUCCGUUUCCAUCCCUGAUCUCGGAUGUACUUGGGUCGCUGGUGCUGCAUCUUGCUAGCCAGCUAUCCUCUCCUGCAUAGAAGCGGGUCAUGAGGCUUGUUAGCGCGGACAUUGUCCUCAGCUUCUCUUGGCCGAGGUGUCUGGCAAUUCAUUUGUCUCGGACGUUGUGUUUAAAAGCUGCUAAGGCUUCGGCGUCCGGACAGUCGACUAUUUGGUUCUUUUUGGUGAGGAACCUGUUCCAGAAUUUGCAUGCUGACUCUCCGGGCUGUUGAGUUAUAUGACUUAGAUCAUCUGCAUCCGGAGGGUGGACAUAAGUCCCUUGAAAAUUUGCUCUAAACGCGUCCUCGAGCUCUUCCCAACUUCCAACAAUGUUUUCUGGGAGGCCUUUAAGCCAAUGACGGGCUGGCCCUUUGAGCUUGAGGGGUAGGUAUUUUAUGGCGUGGAGAUCGUCUCCUCUAGCCAUGUGUAUGUGUAGUAUAUAAUCCUCUAUCCAGACUCCAGCGUCUGUUGUUCCGUCGUAGGCCUCUAUGUUCAUAGGUUUAAAUCCUGCUGGGAAUUCAUGAUCCAGCACCUCGUUGGUGAAACAUAGUGGGUGUGUGGCGCCCCUGUAUUUGGGUGCAUCGCUGUCUUCGGACACUUGUCGUGCUGCAUUGUUUCCUGGGGCCCUCUUCUUUGGCCCGUAAAUGGACCUGGCUGGGCCAUCUGUCUGUCCAGGGUCGUUAGUCGGCUUAUAUGCGGCGCCGCUUUCAAAUUUUGGCCUAUCAUCUGGCCAUCUAUCCAACCAGGCGGCCUCUUUGUUUUUUGACUGUGGGGGCUCUAUGGCCUCCUCAUCAAAUUCUGGUAGUAGCUUGCGCUUUGGGUAGCUCUUUGAUUGAUGGCCAUUACCGUAUUUGUCUGCGGUUUUGAGCACUUUGCUCCACCUCAUUCUGAGUGUGUCUUCCGCUUUUUUGAGCUUUCGUUUUUCCUUUUUCAAACUUCUUGCGGUGGCAACGAGUCUUUUCCGAAGGUUUUUAUUCUCCGGCGGUGUGUCCGGCGUGAGGUCGCCUGGACUGUUGUUUUCGCCGGGACUAGAUUGAUUAUCUGACUCGUCUUGUUCGGACGGUUGCUUGUCUGCGUGUUCGUCGUCCGCUGGUUCACCCUGCUGUAUUGCUGGGUCGUUAGGAGCGCUGUUGUUGUCGAGGCGGGACUUAGUGCGGCGUCUGCGUCGCCGUUUUGGUUGUUUGUCGGCGGGAUUAUCCUCUUCCGCGCCUUGUUGGUCCUCGUUAUCGCUUCCUUUUGGGGUGUCCACCAUGUAUACAUCGUAUGACGAGGUGGUCUUCCCUUGCCUUGUAGGCACUGUUUUCUGUUCAUCUCCGACAUCGUCUUCCAUACCGUCGAUGUCUUCGGAGUCGUAGUUUAGCAUGUCGGUAAGAUCAUCGACAGUGGCUACAAAGUGGGUGGUGGGUGGGCUCUGAAUUUCUUCGUCGUCCGUAUCCCAACCAUCUUGGCCAUAAUUCGGCCAGGACUCUCCGGAUAGCGAGAGAUGCUUUAGCGAAUUUAGGAUGUCGCCAAAGGGCGAGUGUUGGAAGAUGUCCGUGGCGGUGAAUUCCAUAACCGGCGCCCAAUCAGAUUCAAUUGGUGGGGGCGCGGGAGGUCCGGAGUCCGGCAAGGAGUCCGGCACCUCGGAGUCACGUGCUUCGUGAGGGACAAGGGCAGUGUUCGGCUCCAUCGCCGUGGAAGUUGAAGCCCCUGAGGCGGUGUCCAACCACCGGUCCUCGAUCCGGGCGGUCGGCUCCGAGCUAAAAGACGGAGCGGACUCGUGUGCGGCUACCAAGGCACUGUUCGGCGGCAGAGCUAGAUAUGCCCAUCGUAACAGUGCGGCGCGCUUGGCUGUGGCUCGAGUCCGUCGAAGAUCAAGUCUCCGCGGAUGUCGGCCGUGAAGUUUAGGCUUCCGAAUCUGACCUGACGGCCAGGGGCGUAGCUUUCGAUCUGCUCCAGAUGGCCAAGUGAAUUAGCCUGCAGUGCGAAGCUGCCAAAUACGAAGAUCUGUCCGGGGAGAAAAGUCUCACCCUGGACAGCGUUGUUGAUCGAAGAUGCCAUCUAGCCUAUCGGUGACGACACAGAGGAACUCUCAAUGAAAGCACCAAUGUCGGUGUCAAAACCGGCGGAUCUCGGGUAGGGGGUCCCAAACUGUGCGUCUAGGCGGAUGGUAACAGGAGACAAGGGACACGAUGUUUUACCUAGGUUCGGGCCCUCUCGAUGGAGGUAAAACCCUACGUCCUGCUUGAUUAAUAUUGAUGAUAUGGGUAGUACAAGAGUGGAUCUACCACGAGAUCAACGAGGCUAAACCCUAAAGCUAGCCUAUGGUAUGAUUGUUGUAAUGUAUGUUGUGUCCUACGGACUACAGCCCUCCGGUUUAUAUAGACACCGGAGAAGGCUAGGGUUACACAGAGUCGGUUACAAUGGUAGGAGAUCUACAUAUCCGUAUCGCCAAGCUUGCCUUCCACGCCAAGGAAAGUCCCAUCCGGACACGGGACGGAGUCUUCAAUCUUGUAUCUUCGUAGUCUUGGAGUCCGGCGGACGAUGAUAGUCUGGCUGUCCGGACACCCCCUAGUCCAGGACUCCCUCAACCUCCUUUCCUACACAACAUUGAAAGGGUCCAUCUUCAAACUGGCUUGGUAACUGUUGUUAUAGGAGAACUCUGCAUAGGGUAAAUUAUCAUCCCAACUAGAUCCAUAAUCUAGCGCACAAGUUCUCAACAUGUCCUCUAGAAUCUGAUUGACUCUCUUGGUCUGUCCAUCUGUCUGCGGGUGAAAGGAUGUACUGAACUCUAGCCUGGUACCCAAAGUUUCGUGCAACUGUUUCCAAAACUUUGAAGUAAAAUGUGUUCCUCUAUCUGAUACGAUGGUCCUCAGAACUCCAUGCAGACAUACGAUCCUGGUCAUGUAUAUCUUCACCAACUUAGCACCCAUAUAGAUUGUUUUCACAGGGAUGAAAUGGGCUACCUUGGUCAAGCGAUCAACUACAACCCAGAUAGAGUCAUAGCCUGAACGGGUCCUGGGUAAUAAGGUGAUGAAAUCCAUGCCAAGUUUUUCCCACUUCCAUUUGGGUAUCAGCAAAGGCUGAAGUAACCCUGCUGGUUUCUGAUGUUGUGCCUUAACUCUCUAACAUACGUCGCAUACUGCUACAUACUCUGCAAUAUCCUUCUUCAUUCCUGUCCACCAGAAACUCUCCUUCAAAUCCAGAUACAUCUUGGUGUUGCCCGGGUCAAUGGAAUAAGGCCAAUCAUGAGCCUCCUGAAGAAUUAACUUCCUGAUCUCAGGGUCAUUGGGCACAUAGAUACGAUCCUCAAACCAUAAAGUUCCAUGCUCAUCCUCAUGAAAACCUUUAGCCUUUCCUUUACUCAUCCUUUCCUUUAUCUCUGCAAUCUCCUUGUCCGUCUUCUAGGCUUCUCGGAUCUUUCCCAGCAAAGUGGACUGAAUUUCCAGUGCUACAACAUAACCUCUUGGAACUAUCUCCAAGCGAAGUUCUCGGAGAUCAUCGGCUAACUCCUGAGGUAAUCCUCCGGUUAUGAGUGUGUUAACAUAACUCUUGUGGCUCAAAGCAUCUGCUAUGACAUUGGCCUUUCCUGGAUGAUAAUGCAAUCUCAUGUCAUAAUCCUUUAUGAGCUCCAAUCAUCUCCUCUGUCUGAGGUUUAACUCCUUCUGCGUGAAGAUGUACUUCAAACUCUUAUGAUCCGUGUAAACAUCGCAACGGUUUCCGAUAAGGAAAUGUCUCUAUGUAUUGAGCGCAUGCACUACGGCUGCUAACUCCAAAUCAUGCGUGGCAUAAUUCAACUCAUGAGGUCGAUGCUGUCGUGAGGCAUAUGAAACAACUCUUCCUUCCUGCAUAAGAACGCCUCCAAGUCCCUGACGAGAAGCGUCGUAAUACUUGGAAAUCCUUGCGUAUAUUCGGGAGAAUCAGCACUAGGGCUGUAACCAAAAAUUUCUUAACCUCCUGAAAACUAGCCUCACAAUCCUCGGUCCAUUUAAACUUGGUGUCUUUCUUCAAUCACUCCGUCAUGGGCUUCGCGAUCUUGGAAAAAUUCUCAAUAAAUCUCCGAUAAUAACCUGCGAGUACAAGAAAACUUCUGAUCUCUCCAGCUGAGGUGGGUGCCAACCACUCAGUGACAGAUGCAACCUUGGUAGGGUCAACUACUAUCCCUUCUCCUAAUAUAACAUGUUUGAGAAAUCCAACUUCCUUCAACCAAAACUCACAUUUGCUGAACUUGGCAUACAACUGAUGUUCCCUGAGCUUCUCAAGAACCAAGCACAAAUGUUCCUUAUGUUCUCCUUCAUUCUCCGAGUAGACCAAUAUAUCGUCAAUGAAAACCAUGACGAACUUGUCCAAGAACUCCAUGAACACCUUGUUCAUCAUACUCAUAAAAUAGGCAGGGGCAUUAGUCAAACCAAAUGACAUAACUGUAUACUCAUAUAGCCCAUACCUCGUGGUAAAAGCUGUCUUAGGUAUAUCUUGCUCUCGAAUCUUCAGCUGGUGAUAGCCUGAUCAAAGAUCGAUCUUGGAUAAAACUUUAGCUCCUUGCAGCUGGUCAAACAAAUCAUUGAUCAUUGGCAAAGGGUAUUUGUUCUUCAUCAUCACCUCAUUAGGUGCGCAAUAAUCAACAACCAUCCUUAAAGAUCCAUCCUUCUUCUCAACUAGAAGCACUGGGAUCCCCAAGGUAAUGAGCUUGGUCGAAUAUAACCUUUCUCCAAUAACUCCUUAACCUGCUUCUUUAUUUCCUCCAAAUCAUUGGCGGGCAUCCGAUACGGUCUAUUGGAUAUUGGUCCGGUGCCUGGCAACAACUCUAUCAAAAACUCAAUGUCUCGAUCUGGUGGCAUGCCUGGUAACACCUACGGAAAUACAUUGGGGUAAUCCUUCACAACUGGUACUUCGUCCUGAACAAUUCUCGAAAGGGAAUUCACUUGAGUUCUCCUCGGCACAUGCCUAGACACAUACUUGAUCCUUUUUCCUUCUAGGGUGGUGAGAAGAAUCGAUUUACUGGCACAAUCGAUGUUUCCUUCAAACUUGGAUAGCCAAUCCAUGCCUAGGAUCACGUCCAAACCUUGUGACUCUAGGACAAUAAGGUCGGUGGGGAAAACGUGUCUAGCUAUGGUUAUUGGCAACUGAUAACAUCCCCGACUAGCCAUAUACUCUGCUCCUUGGAAACUCACUAACAUAGGUGACUUAAGGGCUACGGUUGGCAACAGGGGGUGGUGGCGGUGGGUUGUUGUUGUUGUUGCCUUGGUUCUGGAUCAUCAUUUGCAUCAAGGCAUUCUGUUGUUGGAUCAACCGGGUGAGCUCCGGCGGAAAAGUGAAUCUGGGGUCACGUCUCGGACGCAUCUGAUGGGUGAGAGGGGUGAGAAGACAAAAUAGAAUAAGGUCUAUGAGAGAUUUCACUACCCAUAUGCAUAUGAGGCAAAUAUAUUCAAUUCACACCACUCAACAUCAAACAAGGUUCACACAAACGAUCUAACUACUAUUAUAAAUCGAUCGAUUCUAACUACUUGGAAGAAUGCUACUAGUGAAAAGGUGGUCGUCUAGAAGUUUUGAUCGGUGGAAGAUUCCAUAAUGUCAGCUCCAGCUUCGUCUUCAUAAUCAUCAUGACUGUCAUCAUUAGCAUCACUGUCUGUGUUCAUGUCAUCUAAUAUGAUGUAGUCCUCCAAACGAAUAUCCACUUCAGGUUCUGGUUUUGGUUUCACCAUGGGUAUUCCUAGUCUCCUCUUCAGAUCUUCAUGCUUCUCCAGUAGCACAACAAUUUCUUCUUCAUAUCCAUCAUGUGUUGACUUGAGUUCCUCUUCUAGCUCAAUAUUCCUCUUCAUCACCUUCUUGGUCUUCUUCAUGAUAGAGCACAUCUGAUUCUCAUAUCGACGAAUGUGUUGAUCCAUGUCCUGAAUGUACGCUGCAAUUGAUCCAUCCUUCCUGGUGCGAAUCAUCUCCCAUUGCUCGUCUCGGCGUCCACAUAUCUGAUAGACUGUGUCUUCAAGAUCCUUGUGGUACACCUCACAAAUGCGUCCAAAGGUGAUGUGGGGUUGCCAUGUUCUUUCCUAAGCUCCAAGUUUGUGCAUCCAAGGUAAACUCGAUGGGCUCGGUUGUUGGUGCAAAUGUCCUCCCAGGUACACAAACUUUGAUCCUUUAGCGCUCCUCUUCUGGUAAGGUUGCAGUGAAGGUUCCAGUGAAGCUUGGUAGUCCGAUGUUCAGAUACUUUGUGACUUCCUUCAAGUGUCGUCCAAAAGGGGUGUCAUCAUCUGGCUGAGUGAACUUGUUCCUGGGGUCCGACAUCUGUAGAGUAGAAAUAGAGGAGGAUUAGAAAUGAGUAGAGAAGAGUAUCAUGUGGCUUUUCCUAGUGGUCGCGUCCCACAGUCAGCGUGUGCUCUGAUACCAUCUUGUAGCGAUCGCGAUCCCAAUGGACUGAAGUCUCUGUGCUUAAGUGUCAUCCCUGGAUCGGUAUGUUGACACACACAGUACUCGAGGAAUUAUAACAGAGUUUCAAUCACACACUUAUUAAAUCGAGGUCCUCAUAAAGAGUAUUUAUUACACAAAUAAUAUGGCUGAAGGCCAUCUAAUCAAGAUAGGGAUAAUUGGUUUUAUGCCUCUAGUUGUGUCCCACUCGGCUGGUUUGCCCCUAGUUUUCGAAAAUCCUCGGAUUUGUCCAAGUCCGUUUGCUCCUCUUGUGGUUUUGUCCUUCCGUUACGUUUCCAUCCAGUUAGUGCUGUUUGACCAUGUGUUGAUCGCCUUUGGACUUUUCGCUGGACCAUUCUACCCAUGCUUUCUCACUCUCUCACUAGACACUUCCAGGUGGGACCAUCAUAGAGAAAACUAUCUCUCUCUAUUCUCAAUGUCAUGUGGGACCCAUGCAGGGCCAAAUAUCUCGAAUGAGGGAGCCAUGUGUUGUAAACAGCAAAUAAUUAACACGUCAUGUUAACUAAUUAGAACAAUAGUAAUUAACACAAAUUAGUACUUAAGGUUGGUCCCACCACAAAUAUAAUUAAACAUUAGUCCAUAUGGUUACUAGCGAAAUAUACUAGCAAAUUACAUUGGGUCAAGUGUUAAAAAAAUUAACAUCAGGUCAACGAUUAAGCCGCAUGCCAUAGGUGAGCGAGGGAGCCAAAUGACCUCGCUGGAGCCAGAUGCGGGAGCUCAUCAAAUCUCCCCGUUGGGCGAGAGAAGGGGAAUGAGCUCACCGGAGCCAGCAUAAUCAAAGUCGGAGCUGAUGAAAUCCUCCUCAUCGGACGAGAGAAGGAGGAUGAGCUCGCAGGCGCCAUUGGUGUCGAUUCCACGCAUGGCCAACGGAUCUACGCGGCCGCGACUAUCACGGCCUACUCCACGCGAAGGGCGCCGGCCACCACCUCUACGGCAUGGAAGGAGGCCCGGGGGAGGCGCGCACCACCCUCCUCUACCAUCUCUCCCUACUGUGUGUCCUCGGCCGCUGCCUAUGUUGGCCACUGAUGAGAUCCGUGGCUCCACCAUCGACUGGAACCCCGCCGGCCUCCCUUGGAUCUCCUAACAAGCAAGAUAUGGGAGGCGAUGUUGGCCACCGACGGGUUCGACAGCCUUGUCCACACGCCGGCGUCAGCCUGGCCAUCGAUGGGGACGUCCGCGUGGUUGCUUGCCGUGGCCUUGCACUGAACCAUAGCGGUAGAGCAUUGAGGCUGGGGUACGGGAAUAAGAUUUGAGAGAGAGGGCGAGACGGGAACCAGGGGUUGACCGACAGGAGAGAAGAAAAAGAGGUUGGGCUAGCCUCCUCUGUGAUGGGUCCCACUUGGAAGUGUCUAGUGAGAAAGUGAGAAAGUAGGGGCAAAAUGGUCCAGAGAAAAGUUCAGAGAUGGUCAACACAAGGUCAAACGACACUAACUGGAUGGAAACGUGACCGAAGGGCAAAAACAUAAGACAGGCAAACGGACUCGGGAAAAACCGAGGAUUUUCAAAAACUAAGGGUAAACCAGCCGUGUGGGACACAACUAGUGGCAUAAAACUAAUUAUCCCAUCAAAAUAACCGCGGAAGCAUAGCUGAGUGCACGACAACAACCUAGCGCACCUUAUUCUUCGUCGGUAAAGUCUGAAACAUGAGACAUUGCAGCCAUGUAGGUCAGCACAUGGAAUAUGCUGGCAGAGUUACACUGUAGAGCAAAAUGAAUGCAAGAAACUAUCUACAUGCAUAUUUGGCUGGUGGAGGCUCUAAGUUUAAUUUUGGGCAUAAAGCUAAUUUUCCCCUACAACAAAGGAAUAAAUUUUAUUUACUACAAAGUUUAUACCAAUAUUGAGAAGGUUCCUCCAACUCAAUUCCAAAAUUAACCAAGUAUCAUCGUUAAACCCAAUACAUUAAUUAAAGAGUGAUGAGAUCAACAUAAAUAUCCACUUAUAGAUACUCAAAUUGUCCAUAACCGGGGACACAGCUAACCAUGAUUAGUUUAUACACUCUGCAGAGGUUGCACACUUUUCCCACAAGACUCGACCGCAUCCAUGAUUGGAAGAUCGAGACAUAGUCUUUCUAAAGCAUUAACUCUCUACUCUGGGUAGACCGGUACACCCACUUUCCCCUACAUCUUCUAGUCCACCUCGUCAAGAGCUCACACAACUUACUCAACUAUGCCAGAGCCCAUAAUGGCUUGUGGCUGCACACGGAAGUAUCUAGGCAUGAAAUAUCAUAUGAUCCCUUUGAGCCUGGGUGGCGAACCGAGGGAAAAUCACACGGGUACUCCGGGAUUCCCAUGGGCAAGCACUGGUUUCUCCAGGUGCCCCAACCAAUCCACCCAGAUGUGUAUUAAAGUUGCCACCUUAAUGUUGUCCAAAAUUAUUAUCUCUCACAAAUUCCAUGAAUAUCACAAACCAAUCCCCGUCUACGAGCAUGACUAAGCAAUAAAUGAGCAUAAUGUAUAUUCCCUGGGUGAUCAAAGGUAAUAGGUUCCUACCUCAAUUACUACAACCAAAACACAUGUUCCCAAUCCUACUACUCAUGCAAAUCUUUGAGGGGUAAAACUAAUGCACAGCAAAAACUGGGUAUUGAAAAGUAUGAUCAAAGUGUAACUUGCCUUGCUGACGAUCGGAAAACUCUAGAGAUUCAUAGUAACAAGCUUCGCACUCCGAAAAAUCUAGCAUAGACAAACAAUAGGAGACAUAAGCACUCAAGCAAACGAUGCAAAGAGAAAUUGAAGAAAAGAUCCAAAGAACUCAAAAAUAAGAAAAUAACUAAGCUAAACAAAAAAUAAAUUCUAACAGCAUUAUAUUUAUGUGGAUUAGAUCUUAACAGAAGGUACAUGUGAUUAGCUACGAUUUCCAAAAAGAAUCAACUCAAACGAAGCUACAAAACUCGAGAUACGAUCAAAACAAGAUCAAAUUCAAAUCUAAACUAAAAUCAAAUUUUAAAUUGUCAAAAACCUAUUCAAGUUGGUUUACUAGAUAGAUGGGAUUGUUCUGAAGAUUUUGCGGUUGGUUUCGUCAAAUUUGGAAAACGAGCAAAUAGUUGCGAGGGUUUAAAGAUUAGGGGCUAAUCUGCGAAGAAAAUAUUCGCAGAUAGGUCCCUAGCCAAAAAUUAAAAUAAAAAGAAAAAACUACCGAACGAACUUUCGCUACAGAACCUAAUCUAAUGAAUCUGUUUGCUACAGAAUCUAAAUGAACGAACCCUCGCUAAAUAACUGAACUAAAUAAAAUAAACCAGAUCUAACAGAAAAACCAAAAAAAAA